GGUUGAUCCUGCCAGUAGUCAUAUGCUUGUCUCAAAGAUUAAGCCAUGCAUGUCUCAGUGUAAACUUUUAAACAGUGAAACUGCGAAUGGCUCAUUAAAACAGUUAUAGUUUAUUUGGUAAUCACUUCUACAUGGAUAACCGUGGUAAUUCUAUGGCUAAUACAUGCGUAAAACCCGCAAGGGUAGUGUUUAUUAGAUUAAAAGCUAACGCCAUGCUCGCAUGGGACCGUUGGAAUGAUAAUAACCGAUCGAAUCGCACGCUUUACAGUGGCGAUAGACCAUUCAAGUUU
rnacentral:rRNA from 1 species